AAAACGUGAUGAGGACAUAGACACUACAGAUCCUUGAACCACUCCCAAGCUUCAUAUAAAAACUCACCAGGAUCUUGGGUAAAAGUAACUAUGGCAUGUCUCAUAUC
rfam:Beta vulgaris subsp. vulgaris 0025.scaffold00096.con0013.1, whole genome shotgun sequence.